rnacentral:lncRNA from 1 species
GGACUGGGAUGGUGCUGGGUUAAACUCGUUUGUACUGGGAAUGGACUGGGAAUGGACUGGGAUAAACUGGGAUCAAACUGGGAGGGACUGGGAAUGGACUGGGAUAGACUGGGAGGCACUGGGGUCAAACUGGGAGGGACUGGGAUAAACUGGGAGAGACUGGGAGGGACUGGGAAGGGUUUAAGGGGGGGAGUUUCAGGUUACUGGUUUGUACUGGUUUGUACUGGGAGGGGAUGGGGGGGACUGGGAGGGACUGGGAUAUACUGGGACAGGAUUUGGGGUUACUGGUUUGUACUGGUUUGCACUGGUUUGUACUGGUUUGUACUGGUUUGGGGGUCACUGGGGGUUACUGGUUUGUACUGGUUUGUACUGGUUUGCACUGGGCCCCUCCCCCCCUGUCCCCCCAGGGUCUCUUCCCGAGGGCUCCCGGCUGCUGCCCGAGGGGACCCUGCCAGACUGGCUGUUCGUGGUGCUGGUGGCGCUGGGGGCGGGGCUGGGAUGACUUUGGGACAACUUUGGGAUAUUUUUGGACAUUUUGGGACGUUUUGUGGCAUUUUACACUGAUUUAUGCCAACGUAUGCUAACAUAUGCUAAUUUAUGCUAAUAUCCCCUUCCAGACUGGCUGUUUGUGGUGCUGGGGGUGGGGCUGGGAUAACUUUGGGAUAAUUUGGGAUUUUUUGGGAUAAAUUUGGGACAUUUUGGGAUAAAUUUGGGACAACUUUGGGAUAACUUUAUGACGUUUUAUAAUGAUUAACGACCAUUUAUGCAAAUGUAUGCUAAUGUAUGCAAAUGUCCCGUUGCAGACUGGCUGUUUGUGGGGCUGGGAUAACUUCGGGAUUUUUUGGGAUAAAUUUGGGACAUUUGGGGACAACUUUGGGACAGAUUUAUGCAGUUUUAUGACGAUUUAUGCAAAUGUAUGCUAAUGUAUGCAAAUUUCCCGGUUGCAGACUGGCUGUUCGUGGUGCUGGUGGCGCUGGGGGCGGGGCUGGUGGCGCUGGGGGCGGGGCUGUGCUGGUGCCAGUGCUGCCCCCACACCUGCUGCUGUUACCUGCGCUGCCCCUGCUGCCCGCGCACCUGCUGCUGCCCCGAGGCG